rnacentral:lncRNA from 1 species
GGGUCUUCAUCCUUGGCCGUUUUCCAUGCUCUUUUACAUCUCUUUUCUUCAAGUUGACUCCAAUUCCCUUGAGAGUUCCUGAAACAACUAAUCAUGUGUGUAAGUGUACAAUCAUUACAGGUUACACCAAAAAUUAAGCUAAUGACUAGAUAUCAUCUUCCAAUCUUAUUGACUUAUGGGCAAUUAUUGGCAACUUGGGCAUAUAAAUAUGCCUAAGAUCAUG